rnacentral:snRNA from 1 species
GUGCUCGCUUCGGCAGCACAUAUACUAAAAUUGGAACUAUACAGAGAAGAUUAGCAUGGCCUCUGCGCAAGGAUGACACGCAAAUGUGUGAAAUGUUCCAUUAAAAA